ACAGUUGUUCGCAUCCAAGUGCUCCAUGACCUCAUGAGUCGUCUCAUCUCUCUGUUUCUUGACAAGAGGAUAAGCAUACUUUUCUGGUUUACUUCACAUGUUUGUCAUGAGACCACGAUGAACUAAUGGAUAUGAAACUGCUUCGUAUAAGAUAAAAGAGUAGAGCCAAAGAUCUCUUCUUCAUGACAUUUUCACAAAAGACAGUAUUUAAGAUUUUACAUCUCUCAAGAGCCCAGUAAAAGAGAGAGAAUGAGAGAAAACACUGCCUGCACAGUCUUUCUGAGAAUAGGUGUAUUUGACAGCAUCAAGAAAUGUUGAUGUGAAUGACGGACAGCAUUCAGAGCCAUCGCCCCUGAUCCCAAACAGUCACCCUGAGUGAAAGUGACAACACCAACAACGUUCUAACUCAUCACUCCAGUCCAUCAAGGAGAUCACAAUAAGAUGAAGAUUUCCACUUCUCUUUCUGGGCUAAAAUGCUGUUUGGACUCAGACAAUAGUUUCAAAGCACAAUACUGAGGAAGAAAAUAAAAGCACUGGAUGUAUGUAAAUGUAAAAAAGUCCCAUCUUCCCCUUUUUCUCUAGGCUUUCCUCCUCAACUCUAUCUCCAUUCUGCAUAGGUUUUGCUUGCAAUGGACAAUGAAAUCUAAUCAGCUCCACUAAUGAUUGCCAAGUGACAAAAACUAUUAGCAAGUAAUGAAAGAAGACUUAACACCAAUACUCCUCAAACUAUUUAAUGAAAUUGAAAGGGAAGCAAUUCUCCCUGAUUCCUAAACGCAAGUGUUACCCUGACUAAAAACAAACAAACAAAACAGAGAAAGACCCAACCAAAAUGGAGAACUACAAGCCAAUCUCCCUAAUGGAUAUAGAUGGCAAAAUUUUCAAUAAGAUCCUAGCAAACAGAAUGCAGCAAACCAUCAUGAAGAUUAUAUACCAUGAACAAGUUGGAUUCAUCCCAGGAAUGCAGGGAUGGUUCAACAUGCAGAAAAUCAAUAAAUGUAAUAUACCAUGUCAACAGAGCCAAAGACAAAAAUCACAUGAUCAUCUCAAUAGAUGCAGAAAACACUUUUGAUAAAGUCCAACACUCAUUCAUGGUAAAAACCAUAGAGAAAAUUAGAAUAGAUGGUCUUUACUUCAAUCUGAUAAAAAUCCAUCUAUGACAAACUAACAGCCAACAUCAUACUUACUGGACAAAAACUGAAAGUUUGAGCCAGGCAUGGUGGUGCACUUCUGUAAUUCCAGCACUUAAGAGAUAACCCUUGAUCGUGAACCAGCUCCCAAAACUGUUACACAGAUUUAACAGCCAUACUUCCAAUACUGAUAUGCAGGUUUAAGACAAUUCUGAUCAAAAUACCUUUAGCAUAUCCCACAUACCUAGAGACAACAUUCCUAAAUUUCACAUGAAAUCAUAAGAGAACAAUGGCAAAGGCAAUCCUGGGCAGCAAAGACAAGGCAGGAGACACCACAGCCCCAGACUUGAAAUUAUACUACAAUACUGUUAUAAUAAAAUCAGCAUGGUACUAGCAAAAAAAAAUGGACCUGAGUAUCAAUAGAACAAAAUAGAAGAUACAGACACAACUACACACACUCUCAGCCACUUUAUUUUUGACAGAAAGGCUAAACAUGUUCACCAGAAAAAGGAAGCAUCUUCAAUAAGUUGUGUUGGAAAAACUGGCUUUCUACAUGCUGAAGACUUAAUCUAAACCCAUAUCUAUAUCACCAUGCACUAAACAAAAGUCAAAAUGAUCAAAGAUCUGAAUAUUAAGACAGAAACACAAAAUCUACUCAAAGACAAAGUAGGUAAAAAUCUCAAGGACAUGGGAGUAGGUAAAGUGUUCAAGAACAAAAGCCCAACUGCAUGAGAAGUGCUUCGAAGAAUCAAAAACUGGGAUCUCCUCUUAUUAAAAAGUGUUUGCACAUUGAAAGGAAUCACAUACAGAGUGAAAAGAAAGCCUAUGGAUUGGAAAAAGAUUUUUGCCAACUGUCCCUCAGCCAAAGGAUUCUAUCUAGAACAUACAAAGAAUUUUAAAAAAACCCUCAGAUCUCCCAAAUUCAAAGGCCCAAUCCAAAAAAUGGACAUCUGAAAUGAGUAUACAACUCUGAGAUAAAGAAAUACAAAUGGCAAAUAAAUAUAUGAAAAUGUGUUCAUCACUGGUCAUUUGAGAAAUAUAAAUUAAAACAACACUGAGAUAUCAUCUCCAGAAAGAAUGCCUAACAUCAAGAAAUCAACCAAUAACAAAUGUUGGCGGGGCUGUGGGAAAAAAAGGAACACUUUUCCAUUGUUGGUGGGAGUAUAGAUGCAUACUGUGGAAACUGUUAGGAAAUUCCUCAGAAAAUAGGGUUAGAGGUUCCAUUCAACACAGCUAUUCCCCUUCUGGGUAUUAUCCCAGAAUAAUUGAAAACAUCGUGCCACAGCAACAUAUGUGCAUCCAAGUUUAUAGUUGCACAAUUUAUAAUAGCCAGAUCUUAGAAACAACCCAAAUGUCCAACAACUGAGGAAUGGAUAAAAAAGAUGUGGUAUUUUUAUACAAGGGAGUGCUACUCAGCUAUAAAGAAUAACAAGUUAGAAAUUUUUAUAGGUAAAUGGAUGCAACUAGAAACCAUAUUCACAAGUGAAAUAAAUCAGACUUGUACGUAUAAACACCAUAUUGUCUUGCUAUGUAAGAAACUAAAA